UUUUUUAAAGAUCUGUCAAAAUCUUGAAAAAAAACUCAGAUGUGAAAAUACAGAAAAUCAAAGAAACAAUUUUUUUAUAAUUUUUUUACAAAAGUGUUUAAAAUAUCAAGCAAAACAAUGUGCAGCCCCAUCCAAUGCUUGCCAAGUUACAAGGAGCCCCCAACGUAUAUUCCUUGUAUCCCCAUCAGAGGUCCACCAUGCCUGCCUUGCGGUAUGGAUAAUUGGACGGUUCGCCGACCCCUCAUCGUUCAUGACAGCACGUUUGACUACAGACCCACUAGCUGGCCUGGCAUGGUGUUGAACAAUCAGGACAAGAAAGUGCGGUAUCAGCUCAUCAAUUUUGAACGGCCUGUAAAAUCGCACUAUCCGACAUGUUCUCCAUCCUACAAUAGUUGCUGCUAAUCUGAGGUUGCGGCGGCUGCCGACCUCACUGCUGCCGACCCUGCCGGCCGUGCUGUGGCAGCGGCUCCCUCGUCACAGUAUACAGUCAAGUAGCACAUAUCCAGUGACGGGCCACCGCGCUCGCGAUCACUUACUAAAUGCCGUGUUAGCGGUCGGCCAGCCGCCAAGACCAGUUGCAGCAUUCGACAAAGCGGUUAUAGAAAUUGGUCAUCAUUGAAACUGAGGCAGGCUAAAGAAGGAAUUUAAUAAGUUAAUUUGUCUGGUAAAAGUUCUGUACCGUCACGUGGUUUAAUUAACUGGUUGUUAUUAUGUAAAAGUGUCAAUAAAAAUUGUUAUAUUUAAUUUGUUUAUAUUUACGGGUAUAAUACCUAUACAUAUUAUGUUAUACGCCCUCUUCGGACUUUUUGUAGAAGAGAUCAAUCCUACCGAUUUUUGUAGGGCUAUCUAUGAUAUUCUGAGAUAUGAUAUGAUCACACACGAAGGCGAGGGCGAGAUGCAAGGUAUGGCACACCGAAUCCCGCAGUGCCGCGCGUGAUUUUGAAUGGGCGUGACGUGUGCAGGACCACCACAGAGAACGGCGAAUAUGAGAGCCGCCGUGCGUGAAUCUACAAAACGCACCGACGCGCGUGAGUGCGCUAAAAACCCGCACGAUGAUGCAGAUCUGCACUCCCGCAGGAACGCGCGUAGGUGCGUCGACACGCAAUAUGCGGGGCAGUGUAAAAUCGCCUUAUCCAGUCUGCUCGUGCGUGUGGACCAGGAAAGCAUGCGCAUUCGUGCCAUUGCAGGCGGGACAGCAAAAUUUGUAUGAUACAAUACCUACAUUAGGGGAAGGUUGUGAGCCUAUUUUAUAGCUUUUUUUAAUGUCGUAUGAGACCCGCAGCGCUAGGGUGCGCGAAGCAAUGGACGGCACGAAUAGCAUAUCUAAUGUCUUUGUGCAUGCUAAUAAAAAAAGGCCCAAAUCUUAUUAAAGGCAAAUGUCCGUAGAAUACCGAUUGGCCGUCACCUGUAUCAUUUUGGUGCUUAUUUAUAUAGAGAGGCUUCUCAAUUCGCCGCACUCACGCGACAGCCAAAUGCGACGGUCGCUUGAACCCGAAGAGCUCACACGCCGAAUGUGGUAUCAGCCUAAACGCUAUAAGAAUAGCUCAGCUCCAAGAACUCAUCCAGCAUCAUCAUCAGCUCCAAGAACAUGAAAUGACAGCUUUACACCAUCCAACCGCGUUAAGCGCAGUUAACCAUUGCUGUUAAUCGAGCAUGUACAUCGUACACGUACAUAAAUAUAAUUUGGUAUUAACGAAUAAAAAAACAUCAGGAAAUAAAUAAUUUACAAAGAAAUGUCUUCCAGUAUACCAUGUGAAAGGAAAAGAGGAAUAUAAGGAAUAACUUCCACUUUUUUGUAGUAAUGCUCUAAUCUAUUAAGUUAUUCUAAAAUUUACAGAUCUGAAUGAAGGUAAGUAACGCUAGGAAAACACAAAACUUACCACUUUACCCUAUUCUUCUCCGUCAAUUCUCGCCAUAAAUACCGCAGUGGAAAGGUGCCUUUACACCUUUCAGCCGACUAGAUUUGUUUGAAAAAUCUAUUAGUCACCCAAAAAUCUGGUAGGCCUGGAGAGGUUUAUAAAUAGGUGCACGCAUUCCAGUCGCGGCUUUCAUUCGAGUUACCUAGCCAUAUUAGUAACAAAAUUUUAAAGUAAAAAAAUCAAAAUGACGGGUUGUUGUCCUGCUCCUCCUAACUAUUGUUGCCCUGUUCCACCGUCUCCGAACUGCGCACCGAUGUAUCCAUUGAAGUGUCCUCCGAAUGGUCCGCCUGCACCGAGAUGUUACGCCGUAAACCCGUGCAUCAACAUUUACAGUUGCAACACACAAAUUAUGUAACCUUAAGUGAAGAAAACCGAAAUACAAUUUUGUGAAAAUAGUGUUGUGAAACUCAAUAAAAUCAACUAUGCUACCG
rnacentral:lncRNA from 1 species